UCAAUUCAUUGUUAUUCACAUAUGUGGGC
rnacentral:sRNA from 1 species